CAAGAUGACCACAAAGCAACAAUGAACAGAGGGGAACUUACUAUAAAUGUACAUAUUAAAUGCAAUUUGACAUUUGAACUGAGUCAGUAAGGUAGAGCAAUAACUCCUUUAAGUACGAUAUUCUUUAACUGUACAGUAUGUGCAAUAUACCAUAUAAUUAUUGCAAAACAUUCCCAUUACUCUGACAGAGCAAACUCCACCCUUUCUCUUGAGACUUGAGAUCUUAAGUGACUAUCGGCGAACUGUCGUAAGGUAAAACAAAACCUGCUCAGGAAUAACGUUAAUGGUAUGACUUAUUGUGUCAUGGCCACAUUACCCAAAAGUUUCGCCCUGCAAUACUAAUGUUGACAUUCUUACAAUAAAACUGAAUACUACUACUAAAUGAAGAAAUGCGACAGGUUACGUGAAUGGUAAAGAUCAAGGUAACGGAUGACAGCAACACUGGCUCGUCCCUCCACGACUGGAGGUUAACGGUAGUUAGCUAAGCCUGCUAACUAGCAGGCUAACUACUAGCUGAAUACUCAUCAUUGACAAGCUUGUCAUGGUAAUUUACGUUUACUGAAACUGAAGAGUGGUUAAUGAAUGGAGAACACUAGACAGAGAUCAGGAUAACACAGCGUGUAAAUAAAAUAGCGCUUUGGUGUUUAUACAGCUAACUUUAGCUGCUAGCCAACGGCUGGGUGUGUUCCAUUCAUUCUAAAACGGCUGCGUUCUAGAACGAACGGUCACGUACACUGGGCAUUGGGCGCGCAGCUGUUUCUAUGGUGUUCCCUUGAAUACGUUCUAUCCAGACGUUGGAAAGAUCGGCGGUAAGCUGGCUACGUAAAACCCGAAAACGACCAGGAUAUGUGGCUACAAAGCUGGCCUACCGUUAGCCUGGCGUUUGAGAGCCUCCCUCGCUCUUUGAACUACCCCUGUCGGCGCCGCUGGACUGACUGACUCCAUGAUGUUGAUCAGAGCUCCUGGGGACCAUAUCAUCUGUUGUGUGACUCCUUGUUCUUGUCUCUGGAG